UACGUAGGGUGCGAGCGUUACUCGGAAUUACUGGGCGUAAAGCGUGCGCAGGCGGUUUUGUAAGACAGAUGUGAAAUCCCCGGGCUCAACCUGGGAACUGCGUUUGUGACUGCAAGACUCGAGUGCGGCAGAGGGGGGUGGAAUUCCACGUGUAGCAGUGAAAUGCGUAGAGAUGUGGAGGAACACCGAUGGCGAAGGCAGCCCCCUGGGUCGACACUGACGCUCAUGCACGAAAGCGUGGGGAGCAAACAGG
rnacentral:rRNA from 1 species